AGUUACCUAGCACGUAUGGUGGGCACUCUAAGGAGACUGCCGGUGACAAACCGGAGGAAGGUGGGGAUGACGUCAAGUCAUCAUGGCCCUUACGGCCUGGGCUACACACGUGCUACAAUGGUCGGUACAAAGGGUUGCCAAGCCGCGAGGUGGAGCUAAUCCCAUAAAACCGAUCGUAGUCCGGAUCGCAGUCUGCAACUCGACUGCGUGAAGUCGGAAUCGCUAGUAAUCGUGAAUCAGAAUGUCGCGGUGAAUACGUUCCCGGGCCUU
rnacentral:rRNA from 1 species